rnacentral:rRNA from 1 species
AGCAGUAGCCGCGGUAAUACGUAGGGUGCGAGCGUUAAUCGGAAUUACUGGGCGUAAAGCGUGCGCAGGCGGUUCGUUAAGACAGAUGUGAAAUCCCCGGGCUUAACCUGGGAACUGCAUUUGUGACUGGCGAGCUAGAGUAUGGCAGAGGGGGGUAGAAUUCCACGUGUAGCAGUGAAAUGCGUAGAGAUGUGGAGGAAUACCGAUGGUGAAGGCAGCCCCCUGGGCCAAUACUGACGCUCAUGCACGAAAGCGUGGGGAGCAAACAGAAUUAGAUACCCCCGUAGUCCCUGUCUCUUAUAC